UACAGAGGGUGCGAGCGCUGUCCGGAAUCACUGGGCGUAAAGGGCGCGUAGGUGGCGACCCAAGUCAAUGGUGAAAGCUCGCCGCUCAACGGCGAGUCGGCCACCGAUACUGGGUUGCUCGAGCACUGUAGAGGCUAAUGGAAUUCCGGGUGUAGCGGUGGAAUGCGUAGAGAUCCGGAAGAACACCGGUGGCGAAGGCGGUUAGCUGGGCAGUUGCUGACACUGAGGCGCGACAGCGUGGGGAGCAAACAGG
rnacentral:rRNA from 1 species